AGCGCGUGGCUCCAGCUUGAGGGGGGAUUAGUGGCGACGGGUGAGUAACACGUGAGUAACCUGCCCUUGACUCUGGGAUAAGCCUGGGAAACUGGGUCUAAUACUGGAUACGACCUUCCAUCGCAUGGUGGUUGGUGGAAAGCUUUUGUGGUUUUGGAUGGACUCGCGGCCUAUCAGCUUGUUGGUGGGGUAAUGGCCUACCAAGGCGACGACGGGUAGCCGGCCUGAGAGGGUGGACGGCCACACUGGGACUGAGACACGGCCCAGACUCCUACGGGAGGCAGCAGUGGGGAAUAUUGCACAAUGGGCGCAAGCCUGAUGCAGCGACGCCGCGUGAGGGAUGAAGGCCUUCGGGUUGUAAACCUCUUUCAGUAGGGAAGAAGCGAAAGUGACGGUACCUGCCGAAGAAGCGCCGGCUAACUACGUGCCAGCUGCCGCGGUAAUACGUAGGGCGCACGCGUUAUCCGGAAUUAUUGGGCGUAAAGAGCUCGUAGGCGGUUUGUCGCGUCUGCCGUGAAAGUCCGAGGCUUAACUCCGGAUCUGCGGUGGGUACGGGCAGACUUGAGUGAUGUAGGGGAGACUGAAAUUCCUGGCGUAGCGGUGAAAUGCGCAGAUUUCAGGCGGAACACCGAUGGCGAAGCCGGUCUCUGGGCUUUAACUGACGCUGAGGAGCGAAAGCAUGGGAGCGAACAGGAUUAGAUACCCUGAGAGUCCAUGCCGUACACGUUGGCACUAGGUGUGGGGUAAUUCCACGUUUUCCGCGCCGUAGCUACGCAUUAGGUGCCUGCCUGCGAGUACGGCUGCAUGCUUAAACUGAAGAAUUUUGAGG
rnacentral:rRNA from 1 species